rnacentral:rRNA from 1 species
GUGCCUAAAUACAUGCAAGUAGAACGCACAGGAUGCACCCGUAGUUUUACUUCACCGUAUUCUUUUGAGAUGCGAACGGGUGAGUAAAGGGGUAGGUAACCUGCCUGGUAGCGGGGGAUAACUAUUGGAAACGAUAGCUAAUACCGCAUAAGAACAUUUACCUGCAUGGUAGAUGUUUAAAAGGUGCAAGAGCAUCACUACCAGAUGGACCUGCGUUGUAUUAGCUAGUUGGUGAGGUAACGGCUCACCAAGGCAACGAUACAUAGCCGACCUGAGAGGGUGAUCGGCCACACUGGGACUGAGACACGGCCCAGACUCCUACGGGAGGCAGCAGUAGGGAAUCUUCGGCAAUGGGGGAAACCCUGACCGAGCAACGCCGCGUGAGUGAAGAAGGUUUUCGGAUCGUAAAGCUCUGUUGUUAAGGAAGAACGUGUGUGAGAGUGGAAAGUUCACACAGUGACGGUACUUAACCAGAAAGGGACGGCUAACUACGUGCCAGCAGCCGCGGUAAUACGUAGGUCUCGAGCGUUGUCCGGAUUUAUUGGGCGUAAAGCGAGCGCAGGCGGUUAGAUAAGUCUGAAGUGAAAGGCAGUGGCUCAACCAUUGUAGGCUUUGGAAACUGUUUAACUUGAGUGCAGAAGGGGAGAGUGGAAUUCCAUGUGUAGCGGUGAAAUGCGUAGAUAUAUGGAGGAACACCGGUGGCGAAAGCGGCUCUCUGGUCUGUAACUGACGCUGAGGCUCGAAAGCGUGGGGAGCGAACAGG